UACGAGCCGUCAGGAGAGAGUGCCCGCAAGGGCGCCGCCGAAGGCGAGCCGAGGGUCGGGGUGCAAGCACCGGCCGGAGGCAGAAACGCUCAGGCAAAAGGACUGGCACACGCUU
rnacentral:ncRNA from 2 species